rnacentral:rRNA from 1 species
GAUGAACGCUGGCGGCGUGCCUAAUACAUGCAAGUCGAGCGAACAGACGAGGAGCUUGCUCCUCUGACGUUAGCGGCGGACGGGUGAGUAACACGUGGAUAACCUACCUAUAAGACUGGGAUAACUUCGGGAAACCGGAGCUAAUACCGGAUAAUAUAUUGAACCGCAUGGUUCAAUAGUGAAAGACGGUUUUGCUGUCACUUAUAGAUGGAUCCGCGCCGCAUUAGCUAGUUGGUAAGGUAACGGCUUACCAAGGCAACGAUGCGUAGCCGACCUGAGAGGGUGAUCGGCCACACUGGAACUGAGACACGGUCCAGACUCCUACGGGAGGCAGCAGUAGGGAAUCUUCCGCAUUGGGCGAAAGCUUGACGGAGCAACGCCGCGUGAGUGAUGAAGGUCUUCGGAUCGUAAAACUCUGUUAUUAGGGAAGAACAAAUGUGUAAGUAACUAUGCACGUCUUGACGGUACCUAAUCAGAAAGCCACGGCUAACUACGUG